CCAGAAGGCUGGGCAGCCGCAUUGUGAUAAUUUAUUAUCAUUCUGAGGAAAGUCCGGGCUUCAUGAAAACACAGUGCCGGGUAAUACCCGGGUGGCGCGAGCCAACGGAAAGUGCUGCAGAAACUUAAACCGCCGAUGGGCUUUUAGGUCACAGGCAAGGAUGAGAAGGUGCGGUAAGAGCGCACCGCGAGGCUGGUAACAGACUUGGCAAGGUAAACCCCACUGGAAGCAAGAUCAAAUAGGAACCGCGCAUAGGGCGUUUUCCCCUCGGUGGUUCGGGUAGAUUGCUUGAGGGUGCUGGUAACAGCACUCCUAGAGGAAUGGUUGCCGCUUUGUUAGGUUUCGGCCUUGCAAAGUACAAAACCCGGCUUAUAGGCCCUCUGGAUAA
rnacentral:RNase_P_RNA from 1 species